CAGUCGAGGGGUAUUGGUUUUCGGACCAGAGACCGGCGCACGGGUGCGUAACGCGUAUGCAAUCUACCUUUUACAGAGGGAUAGCCCAGAGAAAUUUGGAUUAAUACCUCAUAGUAUUACGACUCGGCAUCGAGAUAUAAUUAAAGUCACAACGGUAAAAGAUGAGCAUGCGUCCCAUUAGCUUGUUGGUAAGGUAACGGCUUACCAAGGCAGCGAUGGGUAGGGGUCCUGAGAGGGAGAUCCCCCACACUGGUACUGAGACACGGACCAGACUCCUACGGGAGGCAGCAGUGAGGAAUAUUGGUCAAUGGGCGCAAGCCUGAACCAGCCAUGCCGCGUGCAGGAUGAAGCAUCUAUGGUGUGUAAACUGCUUUUGUACGAGAAGAAACACUCCUUCGUGAAGGAGCUUGACGGUAUCGUAAGAAUAAGGACCGGCUAACUCCGUGCCAGCAGCCGCGGUAAUACGGAGGGUCCAAGCGUUAUCCGGAAUCAUUGGGUUUAAAGGGUCCGUAGGCGGUUUUGUAAGUCAGUGGUGAAAGCCCAUCGCUCAACGGUGGAACGGCCAUUGAUACUGCAAGACUUGAAUUAUUGGGAAGUAACUAGAAUAUGUAGUGUAGCGGUGAAAUGCUUAGAGAUUACAUGGAAUACCAAUUGCGAAGGCAGGUUACUACCAAUAUAUUGACGCUGAUGGACGAAAGCGUGGGGAGCGAACAGGAUUAGAUACCCUGGUAGUCCACGCCGUANACGAUGGAUACUAGCUGUUCGGAGCAAUCUGAGUGGCUAAGCGAAAGUGAUAAGUAUCCCACCUGGGGAGUACGUUCGCAAGAAUGAAACUCAAAGGAAUUGACGGGGGCCCGCACAAGCGGUGGAGCAUGUGGUUU
rnacentral:rRNA from 1 species